rnacentral:rRNA from 1 species
AGAGUUUGAUCCUGGCUCAGAACGAACGCUGGCGGCGUACUUAACACAUGCAAGUCGGACGAGAAAUUCCGAUUCGUCGGGAGAGUAAAGUGGCGAACGGGUGAGUAACACGAGGGUAAUCUACCCUUAAAUUAGGGAUAACCUUGCGAAAGCGAAGCUAAUACCUGAUAAGACUACGAUCUCCAAGGAGAUAGUAGGAAAAGAUGGCCUCUGUUUCAUGCUAUCGUUUAAGGAUGAGCCCUUGCACUAUUAGCUUGUUGGUGAGGUAACGGCCUACCAAGGCGAGGACGGGUAGGGGGCCUGAGAGGGUGACCCCCCACACGGGUACUGAGACACGGACCCGACUCCUACGGGAGGCAGCAGUAAGGGAUAUUGCGCAAUGGGCGAAAGCCUGACGCAGCAACGCCGCGUGCGGGAUGACGGCCUUCGGGUUGUAAACCGCUUUUCAGGGUGAAGAGGAAGGACGGUAGCCCUGGAAUAAGUCUCGGCUAACUACGUGCCAGCAGCCGCGGUAAAACGUAGGAGGCGAGCGUUAUCCGGAUUUACUGGGUGUAAAGCGCGUGCAGGCGGUCGUGUAAGUCGUGUGUGAAAGCGCUCAGGCUCAACCGGGCGAGGACAUGCGAAACUGCGGGACUAGAGGUAGGUAGAGGCGUGUGGAAUUCCGGGUGUAGUGGUGAAAUGCGUAGAGAUCCGGAGGAACACCAGUGGCGAAGGCGACACGCUGGGCCUGACCUGACGCUAAGACGCGAAAGCAUGGGGAGCGAACGGGAUUAGAAACCCCGGUAGUCCAUGCCGUAAACGAUGUCUACUAAGUGUUGCGGGGUAGAACCUGCAGUGCUGCAGCCAACGUGAUAAGUAGACCACCUGGGGAGUACGGUCGCAAGGCUAAAACUCAAAGGAAUUGACGG